UGAGUAACGCGUGAGUAACCUGCCCUAGAGUGGGGGACAACAGUUGGAAACGACUGCUAAUACCGCAUAAGCCCACGGUACCGCAUGGUACUGAGGGAAAAGGAUUUAUUCGCUUUAGGAUGGACUCGCGUCCAAUUAGCUAGUUGGUGAGGUAACGGCCCACCAAGGCGACGAUUGGUAGCCGGACUGAGAGGUUGAACGGCCACAUUGGGACUGAGACACGGCCCAGACUCCUACGGGAGGCAGCAGUGGGGGAUAUUGCACAAUGGGGGAAACCCUGAUGCAGCGACGCCGCGUGGAGGAAGAAGGUUUUCGGAUUGUAAACUCCUGUCGUUAGGGACGAUAAUGACGGUACCUAACAAGAAAGCACCGGCUAACUACGUGCCAGCAGCCGCGGUAAAACGUAGGGUGCAAGCGUUGUCCGGAAUUACUGGGUGUAAAGGGAGCGCAGGCGGGAAGACAAGUUGGAAGUGAAAACCAUGGGCUCAACCCAUGAAUUGCUUUCAAAACUGUUUUUCUUGAGUAGUGCAGAGGUAGAUGGAAUUCCCGGUGUAGCGGUGGAAUGCGUAGAUAUCGGGAGGAACACCAGUGGCGAAGGCGGUCUACUGGGCACCAACUGACGCUGAGGCUCGAAAGCAUGGGUAGCAAACAGGAUUAGAUACCCUGGUAGUCCAUGCCGUAAACGAUGAUUACUAGGUGUUGGGGGAUUGACCCCCUCAGUGCCGCAGUUAACACAAUAAGUAAUCCACCUGGGGAGUACGACCGCAAGGUUGAAACUCAAAGGAAUUGACGGGGGCCCGCACAAGCAGUGGAGUAUGUGGUUUAAUUCGAA
rnacentral:rRNA from 1 species